AUCAAUAGUGGCUGAUACCCGUAUGAGGUUCUUUUGGCCGCGUUUAUUAGUUUGUAACCCGCCUUGGCGCUUCGGUGAUUCAUAAUAAACUGGUGAAUGGCAUUUAGCGAUGGCCCAUUCAAGUUUAUGACCCAUUAGCUUGACGGUAGGGUAUUGGCCUGCCGAGGCAGCAACGGGUAUCGGGGAAUUAGGGUUCGAUUCCGGAGAGGGAGCCUGAGAGACGGCUACCACAUCUAAGGAAGGCAGCAGGCGCGCAAAUUACCCAAUCGUGACACAGGGAGGUAGUGACAAGAAAUAACAAUACAGGGGUAAUGUCUUGUAAUUGGAAUGAUGGUGACCCAAACCCUCACCAGAGUAGCAAUUGGAGGGCAAGUCUGGUGCCUAGCAGCCGCGGUAAUUCCAGCUCCAAUAGCGUAUAUUAAACUUGUUGCAGUUAAAAAGCUGGUAGUUGAAUUUUAGCGUGUUCGAGUUUACCAUUCGUUUGGCUUUUUUCGAGUUCGCUUUUGGGUUUUCCCUUUUUACUUUGAGAAAAUUAGAGUGUUUCAAGCAGACUUUGGUCUUGAAUACUUCAGCAUGGAAUAAUAGAAGUAGGACUUUGGUUCUAUUUUGUUGGUUAUUGAACGUUAGUAAUGGUUCAUAGGAGUCGGUUGGGGAUUGCAUUAGUAUUUAACUGUCAGA
rnacentral:rRNA from 1 species